CUGGAGGCUUCAUUUCUCAUAUUUGGCAGGAAACAGUGCACACAAGCUGCAUUGCCUGGCUUCCCCUGGACAGCAGCCUGCAGUGAUUCCUCCAACACUGACGAGACUCCAUCUCCUGUUGUGAAAACGUCCAUCUUCACUCCGCCUGUUCUACUCAAGUUCCAGCCUGUACCCAGACCUAAAGACGAUCCAGAGAAUGAGCCCGGCAGUGCAGAGUCCAUCCUUACCAAGAAGAGCGAGUAACCUCUUCCCUACAGACCACGCCCCAGGAAUGAAUAAAUUUCCACAGAGGCGCAUUA